rnacentral:rRNA from 1 species
AUACGGAGGGUGCAAGCGUUAAUCGGAAUUACUGGGCGUAAAGCGCGCGUAGGCGGUUUGGUCAGUCAGAUGUGAAAGCCCUGGGCUCAACCUGGGAACUGCAUUUGAUACUGCCAGGCUAGAGUAUGGUAGAGGGAAGUGGAAUUCCGGGUGUAGCGGUGAAAUGCGUAGAUAUCCGGAGGAACACCAGUGGCGAUGGCGACUUCCUGGACCAAUACUGACGCUGAGGUGCGAAAGCGUGGGUAGCAAACAGGAUUAGAUACCCUAGUAGUCC